GAUGAACGCUGGCGGCGUGCCUAAUACAUGCAAGUCGAGCGAACAGACGAGGAGCUUGCUCCUCUGACGUUAGCGGCGGACGGGUGAGUAACACGUGGAUAACCUACCUAUAAGACUGGGAUAACUUCGGGAAACCGGAGCUAAUACCGGAUAAUAUAUUGAACCGCAUGGUUCAAUAGUGAAAGACGGCUUUGCUGUCACUUAUAGAUGGAUCCGCGCCGCAUUAGCUAGUUGGUAAGGUAACGGCUUACCAAGGCAACGAUGCGUAGCCGACCUGAGAGGGUGAUCGGCCACACUGGAACUGAGACACGGUCCAGACUCCUACGGGAGGCAGCAGUAGGGAAUCUUCCGCAAUGGGCGAAAGCCUGACGGAGCAACGCCGCGUGAGUGAUGAAGGUCUUCGGAUCGUAAAACUCUGUUAUUAGGGAAGAACAAAUGUGUAAGUAACUAUGCACGUCUUGGCGGUACCUAAUCAGAAAGCCACGGCUAACUACGUG
rnacentral:rRNA from 1 species